GUUCCAGGGUCAAAGGUCAAAGAGAGGAAAAACAGACUGAUUUAUACAGAUCAACGGCCGGGCCAGGAGAUACAGGUUACUACAGGUAACUACAGGUAACUACAGAAAUAUAUAAGUAACUACAGGUAACUACGGGAAGAUAUAAGUAACUAAAGGGAGAUACAGGUAACUACAGGGAGAUGCAGUUAACUACAAGUAACUACGGGUAACUGCAGGUAGAAGCAGGUAACUAGAGGUAACUGCAAGCAGAUACAGGUAACUAUGUGUAGCAAGCAACAGUAAGGUAAAGGUAACUACAAAUAACUACAGGAAGCUAAAGAUAGCUACAGGUAAGUAUUCACCUUAUUUCUACGCCCCAUGAUGCUUUGCGUGAAUUAUGGGCGCGACUUCUGCAGCAAGCCAGAACUUCCAUUUGUUUACAUGUUACCCUGACGCUAACCAGCUACCCGCACUAGCAUGUAGCUACUUCACUGACUCAGUUGCUUCAGAUGCAGAUGUGGCUUAUCUUGAACUUGCUGCAGC